UCCAGACUCCUACGGGAGGCAGCAGUGAGGAAUAUUGGUCAAUGGCCGAGAGGCUGAACCAGCCAAGUCGCGUGAGGGAAGACGGCCCUACGGGUUGUAAACCUCUUUUGUCGGGGAGCAAAGCGAGUCACGUGUGACUCAUUGAGAGUACCCGAAGAAAAAGCAUCGGCUAACUCCGUGCCAGCAGCCGCGGUAAUACGGAGGAUCCGAGCGUUAUCCGGAUUUAUUGGGUUUAAAGGGAGCGUAGGUGGAUUGUUAAGUCAGUUGUGAAAGUUUGCGGCUCAACCGUAAAAUUGUAGUUGAAACUGGCAGUCUUGAGUACAGUAGAGGUGGGCGGAAUUCGUGGUGUAGCGGUGAAAUGCAUAGAUAUCACGCAGAACUCCGAUUGCGAAGGCAGCAUACCGGCGCCCAACUGACGCUGAAGCACGAAAGCGUGGGUAUCGAACAGGAUUAGAUACCCUCGUA
rnacentral:rRNA from 1 species